rnacentral:misc_RNA from 1 species
CAUCUUCCAUCAAAUAUAUCAGACCCUGGCCAGAUUGCACGUGCUGUUUAUGAUGUUGAGGAGGCAACAACCAUUGCUUUUGAAAUUAUAGUUGAACACAAGAUGAUCAGAUCAGAAACUCGUGCUUUACUUAUUAAAUUCCUUCAGCUUUUAGUGGCACAUCAUCCUUCUAAGAGGUGCCGGAAGGGAAGUGCUGAAGUGCUAGUAAACUUUGAUGAUUUGUGCCCACUAGAUGAAAAACAGGAGAUUGUUAGUAAUGGCAAGAGUGUGCUGGGGAAUUUCCAGAUAUGUGGAAAAGAAGUUCCUCGGGGAUAUUGGAUGUUUUGCCGUGGCAGCAAGAAUGAUACUAGGGGCUUUAGUUGCGGAUUAUGGGUUCUAUUGCAUUCAUUGUCUGUGAGGAUUGAGGAUGCAGAGAGUCAGUUUGCCUUUACAGCUAUAUGUGAUUUUAUCCACAAUUUCUUUAUUUGCCAAGAAUGUCGCCAACAUUUCUAUCAUAUGUGUUCAAGUGUUAACAGUCCUUUCAACACGUCUCGUGACUUUGCCCUUUGGUUGUGGAAUGCACAUAAUUUGGUAAAUGAGAGGUUAAUGAAGGAAGAAGCAUCUCUUGGAACUGGUGACCCUAAGUUCCCAAAGAUUAUUUGCCUAUGUUCCCAAAGAUUAUUUGGCCUCCAAAGCAGCUAUGCUCUUCGUGUUCUCACUCUCAUGGCCGGAAAAAUGAUGGAACCAAUCGGAUUGAUUGGGAUACGGAUGAGGUAUACAAGUUCUUAACUAAUUAUUAUGGAAAAACGCUGGCUUCUCUGUACAAGGACAGCAGUCUUCUUGGGAGUGAAGCGAUUGAUGGGGCUAUUGAAGAUUUGGUGGCCUCAACAAAUGCGGUAGUUGUGCCAGUGGGGGCUGCAUUGGCAAUUGCUCUUGCUAGCUGUGCAUUUGGAGCGCUUGCAUGUUAUUGGCGUUCACAACAGAAGAGUCGGAAGCCAAGGAGGAAGGCGGAACUAAGAUAGUUAGAAGGACCAAACCAUACACA